AGCAGCCGCGGUAAUUCCAGCUCCAAUAGCGUAUAUUAAAGUUGUUGCAGUUAAAAAGCUCGUAGUUGAAUUUCGGGAUCAGUACGCUGGUCAUGCCUUUGGUAUGCACUGGUGUCACUGGUUUCUCCCUUCUGAAGAUCCGUGAUGUCAUUAAUUUGGUGUCGCAGGGAAUCAGGACUGUUUACUUUAGAAAAAAUUAGAGUUAGUUUAAAGCAGGCUCACGCUUAGAAUACAUUAGCAUGGAAUAAUGAAAUAGGACGUUUGACCCUUAUUUUGUUGGUUUCUAGGAUCGACGUAAUGAUUAAUAGGGAUAGUUGGGGGCAUUAGUAUUCAAUUGUCAGAGGUGAAAUUCUUGGAUUUAUUGAAGACU
rnacentral:rRNA from 1 species